rnacentral:lncRNA from 1 species
ACUGGUCCUGGUGUGCUUGCUGCCGCUGCUGCUGCUGCGGCCCCUGGGCGCCCUGGGCGAGGAACUGCGGCUGCCGCAGCCCCCCCCCCGCCCCCCCCCCGGGCCCAGGGCGGCCGAUUGGCUCUCCAACUUCGCCCACUUCAACAAGUACCUGGAGAAGCUCUUCAACAGCAGCGUGAAGUCUAAGGACCCCCAAGAAAUCGAGAAACGUUCAAAACCCCAAGAAUGCCGCGAACACCACAAAAAGUCCACCAGCAAACACCGUGAAACCUCUACCAGAGAAUGCUAGGAAACCUCCCCAACAGAACACCGGGAAACCCUAACCACUGACCUCCUCCCAGGGCCCCAGGACAAGUUCUCUCUAAGUUUCUGGUCCUCCCAAGACGCUUCCUUCUCAUCACGGAAAGCCUGCCCUCCAGAGCCCCAUCCAGGAGCCACGCGGAGUUCACCGUCACCCUCUUCCAGAAAGUGCAGCUUCGCGAGUUUGAAACACGUUUCCUCUCUGCUCAUCUUUCUACAUGCUUCGUGGAUGCAGCUGGUUGGCCGGGAGCUGCAAACCAGUCUGCCCCUCAAAGGCUCCCAUUUACUAAGCAUUUACCUGGGUCGAGGACCACGCUAAGUGUUCUAUAUGUGUUAGUUCACAUCACGCUCACGACAACCCUGUCAUCCUUCCCACUCUACAGAUGAGGAAUCAGAGGCUCAGAGAGAUUAUAGCCCUGCCCCAAAGCACACAGACAGAAAGUGGCAGAUCCUGGAAUCAGACCCAAGUUCAUCUGAUUCUAUAGCCAAUGCCGUAGCCCUGUAUUACUAGCUUGCUGUCUGCGCAGGACCUUGGAUAAGCGGCUGCACCUCUCUGAGCCUCGGUUUCGUCCUCCGUAGAAUGAGGCUAACAGUAUCUCCCUCACAGCGUUGUUGAAUGCGCCUGGCACACGGUAAGCUCCUUUUCCCAACAGUCUGCACAUGACCCCAUCUCCAGAUCCCUCCCUGUCACAGUCCCCCUCCACCGGCCAUGCUUCUGCCGGGCCCCGCGCCCCCUGAUGAGCCGUGUUCCUACUGAACGUGCACAGUGACACAUCUCUGACCUGUCCAGGGAAGGGUGGCUCUUAAUGCCGCUGAUGCAGCACCAGUCAUGACUUAGCACCAGUCAUUCCUCAGGGCUGGGCCGUUGCCCCUGCCCCCCCCACCCCCCCCCACCCCUGUGUCAAGGACACUUUAGUAUAAAUUAGUACUUCACCUAUUGCCUGGGUGUGGGAAAGAAUUGGUGGAGGAGAGGGUACGUUUAGGGGCAGGGCUGUCAUCAGACUGUUGACCAGGAAAGUCUAAAGUGCUGAAAUGGGAAAAUUCAAGCCUCACAGACUUGCUGAAUGGCCUUGAAGGAGUCCCCGCCUCCCCUGGGCCUGCUCCUCUGUGAAGUGGGGAGGAGGAGCUGAAGGGCUCUGAAGACCCCACAGACCUUCUGGAUCAUUGACAGUACCCUCCUUUCCCCUCUUCGCCUCCCUCC